rnacentral:lncRNA from 1 species
CUGACAAUCGCUGGGCUUCUAAAGAAAUUUGGGCUUAACUAAUUUAACUCUUUUUAUUCUUCUGUUUUUAAUUUUAUUGCAACCCAUUUAUUUAUGUUUCGACAAUUAAGUUCUUUUUUUUUUCUAAAAAACACCUUAUCGUCGUAGGCUAAAUAAGCCAAAUAUGUCGUCUUUUUUUCUUAAUUCGCCUUUUAGGCCCUCUUUUUUUAAAAUUAUGAAAAUAGAUUGAUUUUAGAGAGUGUACACACUCUCUCUCCAAGAUUUUUUUUAAUUUUGUUAGGGUUAGGGUUAAAAUAUUUUUAGAAAUUAAGAUUUAAGGUUUUAGGAGUGAAAUCAUGAAAGUUUAUAGGUAGAUUUAUGGGGUCAGGGAUGCGAUAACACGUUUCAGAACAUAUACAUUUCAUAACUCAUGCCGGGAUAGGACCAUUACCUCAGAAACUCAUCUUAUGAAAGUUAGGUUUCGGAGUGAUAGUACUUGAUAAAGUCAUGAGUCGAAGUCUCUUGAUCCAUUUGGAUAAAGAUUGGACAGUGAUCCGAUAUUGAAUGAGGUAAGUGGCGGAUUAAAAUACUUUGGAACAAGUUCAUCCAAUCACAAUUAGCAACUCCCCUAUCAAGCCGCUCCCUAAUAUUCGUUUCAGGCAAAUUACCCCGUUCCCACGUAAACUAUGGACCCGAAUAUCCAAUAUCCAUUAACUGACAUUCCUCAAGCACAUUCCGAAAAUCCAACAUUAUUCUUUCUUCCCUCGGCGUACCACCCACCUUUUCAUAAGAGUACAAAAUUUCGUUAAAGUCGCCACAAACAAGCUAAGGCAAAAACUUGAUUUCUCCUUAGACUUUUCAACAACUCCUAUGUAUAUUCCCUAUGACUUGCAUCCGGUGCCCCAUAAAACCCAGUCAAUCUCCACAUUAGACCAACUUCAUCUUCUUGAAUUUCCACAUCAAUGUGGUUCUUUGAAUAAUUUCGGAUUUGGACCAUAAGAUUUUUCUUCCAAGCCAGACACAAACCUCCCCUAGUUCCUUCUGCUUUAACUUUUAAUCCAUUGCAGAAACCACACCUCCUCCAAACCCGCUCCAUCCUAAUCUCAUUCAAUUUGGUCUCCAUACAGAAGACCAGUGGGGAUUAUAAAUCUUUAGCAUGUGUCGAAGUAUCCGCUCAGCCCGUGGACUCCCCAACCCACGGACAUUCGAACUUAUAAGUUUCAUUGCUUCCAAUCAGCUUGCCCCUUGGCAGUCGCCGAUACAGAUUGAAUCAGAACAUUAUCGUGCUCUUUGAAUAAUGUUAAUGAAUUCUUAGAAUUAGAAACGUUAACAUUCACAGCCUCCUAUCUAGGCCUCUUUUUUCCGUCUCCACCCCCAGUUGGAAUUUUCUCACUAUUGUGAUCUAUAGUUACAAGAUCCAGGCCACUAAAAGAUUCGCCUAUAAUUUCUAGCAAGAAUCAAUUAUGAGCUAAUUCGACCUUUCUUCACUAAUCACUCGGGUGCUCUUUUGUGAGAAACCUUCAUAAUGUUCCUACCUAACCCUCGAUGUUCAUGGCCUGACAUCCAUUCGAUAGUGCAUUAAAAAGUUCAAAGACUGGGAAGGGUUGAGUUUCGAAUUCAAUUUUGGCUUAAGGUUUCAAACAUAAAGGUUGAUUAAGAAAGGUAAUGUAAAGCUCAAAUUCAGGAAGUAGGGAUAAUGUAAUGUUUAAGGUUGGUCCUUUAGGCUCAAGGCUAUACAAACAAUGCCUAAGGUCUUUCCCGGAUUAGUCACCUACCAACGAUCUAUUAAGCAUGCAUCUAUUUAAACUAACAAUUAGCAAUUUAAAUUAUUUAUCUACAAGGAUUCAUAUAUUGUAUUCAUCCUACUAUACAUUUUAUAUAUUUUCAUUUCGGUUAUUGCCUCUAAUCUAUUAUACCUAUUAACUAAGUGAACUAAUUAAUCUACAAUUAAGAGCAAGAAAUUAUCUAGUAUCAUUCAAAAUUUACAAGUUUGGCAAUCUUAUAUAUGCCUUUGAUAUGUACAACUACUAACUUAUUACUCAAUUACAGUCCAAGCACCGUGCAAUAACACAAAUUAAAAAUGAAAGCAAGAAAUAUUUUUGGAUAUUUGAAAAUUAAAAAAAAAAAGAAAACUUUUUUGAAUUUUUUGAUUUUUUUUUGAAAAAUGCAUAAAAACUAAAAUAAACUCACAAAUAAGCAUAAAACAAGAAAACAUAAACACACAUAAAAACUUAUAUGCACUCAUCCACACUCAGACUACACAUUGUCCCCAAUGCGUUCAAAAGAAAGGAUAGGAGGUUACUGAACUUCCCUAGAAUGGAACAUCAGACUAGCUCAGGCGUCCACCUCCUCGUUGAAGCUCCAUAUGUAUUGUAGUCUUUUAGGGUAGCUCGAUGUAUAUAAGAAAAACAAACAACAAACAAUUACAACACGUAAAAUAAAAAUGUUCGAAGACAAAAAUUAAAGUGUUUAAAGUUUUAUAAGCCGCAUAAAAUAAAAAAAUACAAAGACAUAUAACUAAGCGGAAUCAUCUGAGAUUAACUCUGGUUCCAUGGGUUGUUUCCCCUUACCUCUUGUGCUUGAAGGUUUGUAACCCUUGUUUGAUUUUUCUCAUGGUUUUUCUAAAUUGAUCCCUCGUCUAGGUGUGGAUACGAAUGUUGUAUUCAUCGUGUUUUGAUCUCUGUUGGGUUUGUCAUUCCUUCCACACCUUUCUUGAACCAUGUAUCUUUUUGGUUUUUUUUUGCCACAUUGGUUUUCCUUCCCCAUGAUUACUAUCACAUUUCUCUACAUAUGUUUUCAUCAUCUUAAUUGUUCAGGAGUUGUAACCUCUUGAUUCAACAAGCUUAUCUAGUUGUUUUUGAAUAUUUUCCAGCAUACCUUCUAUUUUUUACUUUGUUGGGGUCAAUUGAGUCUGCUCUCCUUUCGAC